UUUAAUGAGAGUUUGAUCCUGGCUCAGGACGAACGCUGGCGGCGUGCCUAAUACAUGCAAGUAGAACGCUGAUGUUUGGUGUUUACACUAGACUGAUGAGUUGCGAACGGGUGAGUAACGCGUAGGUAACCUGCCUCAUAGCGGGGGAUAACUAUUGGAAACGAUAGCUAAUACCGCAUAAGAGUAAUUAACACAUGUUAGUUAUUUAAAAGGAGCAAUUGCUUCACUGUGAGAUGGACCUGCGUUGUAUUAGCUAGUUGGUGAGGUAAAGGCUCACCAAGGCGACGAUACAUAGCCGACCUGAGAGGGUGAUCGGCCACACUGGGACUGAGACACGGCCCAGACUCCUAC
rnacentral:rRNA from 1 species